rnacentral:tRNA from 1 species
GCUUUGGUGGUUCUGUGGUAGAACACUCACCUUCCAUGUGGGAGAUCUGGUUCUGUUCCUGGCCAAUGUG